CAUCGCUUUGACAAGUUUAAUGCCAAAUACAACCCUAUUGGGGAGUCCGUCCUCCGAGAGAUCUUCAUCAAGACGGACAACAGGGUAUCUGGGAAGUACUUUGCUCACAUCAUCAAGGAGGUGAUGUCAGACCUGGAGGAGAGCAAAUACCAGAAUGCAGAGCUGCGGCUCUCCAUUUACGGGCGCUCGAGGGAUGAGUGGGACAAGCUGGCGCGCUGGGCCGUCAUGCACCGCGUGCACUCCCCCAACGUGCGCUGGCUGGUGCAGGUUCCCCGCCUCUUUGAUGUGUACCGUACCAAGGGCCAGCUGGCCAACUUCCAGGAGAUGCUGGAGAACAUCUUCCUGCCACUGUUCGAGGCCACCGUGCACCCUGCCAGCCACCCGGAACUGCAUCUCUUCUUAGAGCACGUGAGCAAGCAGCACAGAGCUGGGUAUGGGGAGGGCAGCCGGCUUCACGUCCAGCUGCAGCUCUGGUUCUGACCCCAGGGUUCUGUAUUAGGUGGAUGGUUUUGACAGCGUGGAUGACGAGUCCAAGCCUGAGAACCAUGUCUUCAACCUGGAGAGCCCCCUGCCUGAGGCGUGGGUGGAGGAGGACAACCCACCCUAUGCCUACUACCUGUACUACACCUUUGCCAACAUGGCCAUGUUGAACCACCUGCGCAGGUGCCUGCACCACCCUGUGUCUGCUUGCUAUGCCGUCUCUCGCCCAACAAAUCUUACUCUUGGCACCUUGGGCCAGGGCCACUAGACCUCUGACCCACCUGUUGCCUGGACUAGAUGGGUUCUUUCUCUGCCCUUGGAGCUACAUCUGUCAACCCUCACAGCCAGUAACCUACCCCGUCCCCCUUAUCCCGGGCCUGCAUA
rnacentral:sRNA from 1 species